ACCACAUUACAACAUAGCUUUGUUCUAAACUUCUUUUUGUUGCUGAUCAACAAGACAUUUCUAACCCUCCGCAUGCACCUUGCCAACACCCUGCAGUGAAUGAAGUUCAUUUGGCAAAAGACAACAUCCCGUCGGUACUGAAGGCUCAAGCAAAGAGCUAUUGUAGGGGCACUAUCUUGCAUCAAGAGAAAGACCAUCGCUUUCUUUGCCUUGUCACUCAUCAUGGCUACGCAUUCUGUGAGUGUUGUCAGCAAUGGGUAAAGGGCCUCACUCCAUUCACCUGUAGUUUUCAAAA